UAUUUUGAUGAUGUAAUAAUACAUUAUGCAUUGCCACUUAUUUGUAUGUACUGUUGAUAAUCCUGUAAUUCGAAUAAGUCAACAUGUAAACGGGCCUGGAGGGUAACAGAGAUCACAAACAACUGAUGUCGCUGGUCCAAUCGCAAACACUGAGACAACCCGACGAUUACAUAAACAUGAAGGCUGAACAAUUUUGGAAAAAUAAUCAAAUUGCUAUUGUUUUCUUCAAUAUUGUGAUUGAUUAUUAUUUUCCCAAGGUCCUCUUCCCGUGUACUUGUUGACGAACACAAGCAGUAUUACAGCAAAAAGGAAGGUUAUCUCUGCUUCUUUCGACCUUCCGAAGCCAAGUAGAUGCAAGCAGUGUUUGGGCUGAUCACUGAGGGACUUUCAAACUUUUAACACCAACCUCUUGGUGGCGCUGUUGGGCGCAAGCUUCGUGUUGUACCAGUGCAGGCCAUCCUCGCACGCCGCCAGAAGGUGCGCGUCGGGCUUGCUGGGUGGCAGGCAGAUGUGCAGCGGAGUGCAGCUGCUCUCCAACACCAGCAACUGCCUGGAAGCGAUAAA